rnacentral:tRNA from 2 species
UUAGUUUAUUGAAUGCGAGUAUGUCUAGCUCGAGGUUUAGGUGGGUAUGUUGAUUUUAG